rnacentral:rRNA from 1 species
ACUCAAAUGAAUUGACGGGAACCCGCACAAGCGGUGGAGCAUGUGGUUCAAUUCGACGAUAAGCGAGGAACCUUACCAGGGUUUGACAUGUCUAGAACGCCGCCGAAAGGUGGCCGUGCUCGCAAGAGAACUAGAACACAGGUGCUGCAUGGCUGUCGUCAGCUCGUGUCGUGAGACGUCGGGUUAAGUCCCUUAACGAGCGCAACCCUUAUCUUGUGUUACAUGUUCACAAGAGACUGCCUGGGUUAACCAGGAGGAAGGUGGGGAUGACGUCAAGUCAGCAUGGCCCUUACGCCCUGGGCGACACACGUGCUACAAUGGAGCCGACAAUGGGUCGCCAAAUCGCAAGAUGGAGCUAAUCCCAAAAACGGCCCCUCAGUUCGGAUCGGAGUCUGCAACUCGACUCCGUGAAGCUGGAAUCGCUAGUAACCGCGCAUCAGCCAUGGCGCGGUGAAUACGUUCUCGGGUUUUGCACACACCGCCCGU